AUUGAACGCUGGCGGCAUGCCUUACACAUGCAAGUCGAACGGUAACAGGUCUUCGGAUGCUGACGAGUGGCGAACGGGUGAGUAAUACAUCGGAACGUGCCCGAGAGUGGGGGAUAACGAAGCGAAAGCUUUGCUAAUACCGCAUACGAUCUCAGGAUGAAAGCAGGGGACCGCAAGGCCUUGCGCUCACGGAGCGGCCGAUGGCAGAUUAGGUAGUUGGUGGGAUAAAAGCUUACCAAGCCGACGAUCUGUAGCUGGUCUGAGAGGACGACCAGCCACACCGGGACUGAGACACGGCCCAGACUCCUACGGGAGGCAGCAGUGGGGAAUUUUGGACAAUGGGCGCAAGCCUGAUCCAGCCAUGCCGCGUGCAGGAUGAAGGCCUUCGGGUUGUAAACUGCUUUUGUACGGAACGAAAAGACUCUGGUUAAUACCUGGGGUCCAUGACGGUACCGUAAGAAUAAGCACCGGCUAACUACGUGCCAGCAGCCGCAGUA
rnacentral:rRNA from 1 species